GUGGAUUAGAUACCCUGGUAGUCCACGCCGUAAACGAUGGAUGCUAGUCGUCGCGGGUAUUGACCCCUGCGGCAACGCAGUUAACGCAUUAAGCAUCCCGCCUGGGGAGUACGGCCGCAAGGCUAAAACUCAAAGGAAUUGACGGGGGCCCGCACAAGCGGUGGAGCAUGUGGUUCAAUUCGACGCAACGCGCAGAACCUUACCUGGGUUAAAUCCACCGGAACCCUGCAGAGAUGUGGGGGUGCCCGCAAGGGAGCCGGUGAGAAGGUGCUGCACGGCCGUCGCCAACU
rnacentral:rRNA from 1 species